GGAAGGGUGGCCGAGUGGUUUAAGGCAGCGGUCUUGAAAACCGCCGUGGGCGCCAGCCCACCGUGGGUUCGAAUCCCACCCCUUCCGCCA
rnacentral:tRNA from 2 species